UGUUCAAUUCAAUCAGUUUAAAUCUCACUGCCGAGUACCCGGAAAAGCGAAUUUCACAGAUUUUUCUUUCAAGAAAAAAACUCAGCUCAGCACUAUAAUAUAUGUGCGCACACGGAAAGGUGGGGAAGAUACUCGGAAUAUAUAUUAGCUCCUCCUGGGAGUUAUUUCUUUUGGCUACCUGGUUCAUUAUGUCUGGUUGUCUGAGAAGCUGGUGAAUGUUCUUGUUUAGCUAACAACAUAUGUUUAUGUGGCACUACAAGCUCAGAUUCCGAUUCCAAUACAAGCCCCCAAACGCAUGUUUAUCUGCUGAAAGUUUGCCGUGACUGAAAUACCAAUAAAAACGAAACCCAAAAAGCGAA